UACGUAGGGCGCAAGCGUUGUCCGGAAUUAUUGGGCGUAAAGAGCUCGUAGGCGGCCUGUCGCGUCUGGUGUGAAAGCCCCCGGCUCAACCGGGGAAGUGCAUCUGAAACUGGCGAGCUAGAGUACGAAAGAGGGUCGCGGAAUUCCCGGUGUAGAGGUGAAAUUCGUAGAUAUCGGGAGGAACACCGGUGGCGAAGGCGGCGACCUGGGUCGAUACUGACGCUGAGGUGCGAAAGCGUGGGGAGCAAACAGG
rnacentral:rRNA from 1 species